rnacentral:tRNA from 1 species
GGGCAUGUGGCUCAAGUGGUAAAGCAUCUGCCUAGCAAGCCCAAGGCCCUAAGUUCAAAUUUUAGCACUACCA